rnacentral:rRNA from 1 species
UGAGAGCGGCGGACGGGUGAGUAAUGCCUAGGAAUCUGCCUGGUAGUGGGGGAUAACGUUCGGAAACGGACGCUAAUACCGCAUACGUCCUACGGGAGAAAGCAGGGGACCUUCGGGCCUUGCGCUAUCAGAUGAGCCUAGGUCGGAUUAGCUAGUUGGUGAGGUAAUGGCUCACCAAGGCGACGAUCCGUAACUGGUCUGAGAGGAUGAUCAGUCACACUGGAACUGAGACACGGUCCAGACUCCUACGGGAGGCAGCAGUGGGGAAUAUUGGACAAUGGGCGAAAGCCUGAUCCAGCCAUGCCGCGUGUGUGAAGAAGGUCUUCGGAUUGUAAAGCACUUUAAGUUGGGAGGAAGGGCAAUUACCUAAUACGUGAUGGUUUUGACGUUACCGACAGAAUAAGCACCGGCUAACUCUGUGCCAGCAGCCGCGGUAAUACAGAGGGUGCAAGCGUUAAUCGGAAUUACUGGGCGUAAAGCGCGCGUAGGUGGUUUGUUAAGUUGGAUGUGAAAUCCCCGGGCUCAACCUGGGAACUGCAUUCAAAACUGACUGACUAGAGUAUGGUAGAGGGAUGGUGGAAUUUCCUGUGUAGCGGUGAAAUGCGUAGAUAUAGGAAGGAACACCAGUGGCGAAGGCGACCACCUGGACUGAUACUGACACUGAGGUGCGAAAGCGUGGGGAGCAAACAGGAUUAGAUACCCUGGUAGUCCACG